rnacentral:rRNA from 1 species
GAUGAACGCUGGCGGCGUGCCUAAUACAUGCAAGUCGAGCGAACAGACGAGGAGCUUGCUCCUUUGACGUUAGCGGCGGACGGGUGAGUAACACGUGGGUAACCUACCUAUAAGACUGAGAUCACUUCGGGAAACCGGAGCUAAUACCGGAUAAUAUUUCGCACCGCAUGGUUCGAUAGUGAAAGAUGGCUCUGCUAUCUCUUCUAGCUGGACCUGCGCCGUAUUAGCUAGUUGGUAAGGUAACGGCUUACCAAGGCAACGAUACGUAGCCGACCUGAGAGGGUGAUCGGCCACCCUGGAAGUGAGACACGGUCCAGACUCCUACGGGAGGCAGCAGUAGGGAAUCUUCCGCAAUGGGCGAAAGCCUGACGGAGCAACGCAGCGUGAGUGAUGAAGGUCUUCGGAUCGUAAAACUCUGUUAUUAGGGAAGAACAAACGUGGAAGUAACUGUGCACGGCUUGACGGUACCUAAUCAGAAAGCCACGGCUAACUACGUG